rnacentral:rRNA from 1 species
UACAGAGGGUGCGAGCGUUAAUCGGAAUUACUGGGCGUAAAGGGCUCGUAGGCGGCCAACUAAGUCAGACGUGAAAUCCCUCGGCUUAACCGGGGAACUGCGUCUGAUACUGGAUGGCUCGAGUUUGGGAGAGGGAUGCGGAAUUCCAGGUGUAGCGGUGAAAUGCGUAGAUAUCUGGAGGAACACCGGUGGCGAAGGCGGCAUCCUGGACCAACACUGACGCUGAUGAGCGAAAGCCAGGGGAGCAAACGGG